rnacentral:rRNA from 1 species
AUGGCGCCGUCCGCCAGCUCCUCCUCCGGCACGGACUCCACUGGUUCCUCCUCCUCAUCGGGGAGCGACCGCCGCGUCCGCCGCCGCCACAGCCGCCGCAAGGACGCCGCGCCGUCCACGUCCUCCUCCUCCGCGCUGAAGGUGCGCAAGGACCGCAAGUCCCGCCACAAGCGCCGCCGCCGGGAGAGGCGGAAGUCCCGUUCAGACGACGACAGCUACAGUAGCGCAAGCUCUUAUGAUAGUGACCGCGAGGCAUCUGGCAGAUCACGUAAGCAUAAGAAGAGCAGUAGAUCAAGGAAGUCUAGGGAAAGAGAGCGAAGCAAGGAUAGGCAUCAUAAACGGGACAAGAGUAAACAUAGAGAGAAGAAAGAGAGUGAACGUUCUAGCGGUCCGGUCCAGCUUUCCAAGUUCCUUGGUCGCGAGAAGGAGGAAAGCGGCAAAAGGAGUGUUAUCUCUGGUAAAAAGAUAAUGAUGAAGCUCGAGAAAUCCAAGGAAGAUAAGGCGGCUGAGAGCAAGCGCAAUGAACUGUUGAAGUUUCUGAAUGCCAGUUAUGAUUGA